AGAAAAAUACUCGCGGGAUCGUUGUAAAUAACAUUAUAAUAACAUGUUUUGUCCCAAAAUAUUUAAGUUUAAUAUUUCCGAUUUGAUUGUAAUAAUAUUAUAAUAUUAUGUACAUAUUUGUAUUAUUACGUCAUUAUAUCGCGUCGGUCCGCGGUAUCGUCACACGGAUCCGUUAUUCGGACCGUGCGCCAGUGUAUUAAUA